rnacentral:lncRNA from 1 species
AUGCCCUGCUGCAGAAACACCCCAUUGCAUAAAUACCUCAUUGUGGCAAUACCCCGCUGCAGUCACAGCCGCAGCAGAAACAGCCCGCAGCACGGGGCGGGCAGCGCCCGGCACAGCCCCGCAGCUCUGCGGCACUCCUUGCACCGGGGAAAUCCCCUGCCAAAGGUAGCGAAAGCACAGUGUUGCCCCACGGAGCCAGACUGCUUAAUCCCCAGGCACUGCCUGUCCCAGCGCCCCAUCCAGCCCCACCAGCCCGGCAGGAAGGACACUGAAAUGAUGUCAGACCAACGAGGACCUGAUCCUGUGGUGCAGACUGGUGCGCAACUCAGCAUCUUUGCGGUGAGAGACCACUUCCCCAGCACAGAGCAGUGCUCAUCUGCAUCAAGACAUGGAAGCAGUGUGCAAGUCAGAGUGCACCUCAGCAAAAUGCAGUGGAAGUGCUCAGGUCCCAUUGUGAAACCCAUGCAGCGGUAUUAGAGUGUCUCUGGAUGACUUAAUGCUAUUCAGACUCCUCUGAUCAUGCCUUCCUUCUCCUAGACAAAUUCUCUGUUGUGCAACUCCUUCAGCAUUCCCCAGCCCAGCACAAGUCACUGCUCAGAAAGUGAUGUUUGUGGGCUGCUGCUUGUCAGUACCUCCUCCUCUGUGCUGCGGAGCAGAGUGGGUCAGUAUGUUUCCAAAUCACGUCGCUUAAAUAAGAGACAGGUUCUAUCAUGUUGUAUGGGGUAAUGAAGGGCCUCUGUCCAUCAGUGAUCCAAGCAGUGGCUUUGUUCUGAAUAUCUUCAUGUCUUCAGAAGCCACAGCCUCCGCGGGAGUCUUUCCAAUGCCAAACAAUUGCAGUAAACUUUCUCUUCAAAACAAUUUGCAAAUGUGAAAAAAAUCAAAAGUAACCACCGACAGUGGUUACUGGGGUGUGGCCAGCGUAUGACCCCUUUUGACUUUCAGGGUGGAGAAGCCAACAUCCCCUCUCUGCAUCCUGGCUUCUUUUUCACUGAAAAAGGCAGUGUGUGAUUGCUGUUCCUGCUUUGCAUAAAUCAAAAGAUCUAGCUCUGUGGAUCUUGCGUGGGGUAUUUCCUAUAAAAAGCACAUCUGUGGCCAUGCUUUUUAGUGCAAUAGACUCGAGCCUGGAAGCAAAAGUACACAAACAAAUGUUGAAUUCAUGCUGACUGGAGUAGAUUCCAAGGGAAAGAAGAGUUGGGAAAGCACCUACUUAAGUACUGACUAAGGAUGUUAUCUCUGAUCAGAAUCUAGCCUCUGUGUGUGUGUGACUGUUGAGUACACAGUGCGGUUUCAGACAUGGCCAGAGACAAGAAAAAAUGAUUGUUUCAGGGUAACCACAAGGAAGAUGAAUGCAAAUGUAUUCCUGUAACUGGG